rnacentral:misc_RNA from 1 species
UUUUAUCGUGGAGGGGCUGAAAACAACAACCAUGGCGGCUAUGAUACGCUGUCUGCUCAGAACAAUCCUGGAUCACCAAUGGCUACGAAUCUGAGGCUACAGUAGUCUUUGCCACCACAGACAAAAGCCAGAAACACAAGGCAAGGAAUCAGUGCAUUUCUAGUACCUAAGCCCAUCGCUGGCCUGUCUCUGGGAAAGAAGGAGGAUAAGCUUGGGAUUAAGGCCACCUCCACCUGUAAUCUAAUCUUUGAGGACUGCAGAAUCCCCAGGGAAAAUCUGCUGGGAGAGCCUGGAUUUGGAUUUAAAAUCGCCAUGCAAACUCUUGAUGCUGGCAGAAUUGGAAUUGCAGGACAGGCUUUAGGAAUAGCUCAGGCUUCAUUUGAGUGUGCCAUAGAGUAUGCUCAGAAAAGGAUGGCUUUUGGAAGCCCUAUCUCAAAGAUGCAAACAGUUCAAUCCAAGCUAGCGGACAUGGAGCUAAGAACUGAGAGUGCCAGACUACUGACCUACAAAGCAGCUCUCCUAAAAGAUGCCGGAAAACCAUACACUAAAGAAGCAGCUAUGGCAAAGCUGGCAGCCUCUGAGGCAGCAACCUUUUGUAGUCACCAGGCCAUCCAGAUUUUAGGAGGUAUGGGAUAUGUUACGGACAUGCCAGCGGAGAGACACUACCGAGAUGCCAGGAUAACAGAAAUCUACGAAGGAACUAGCGAAAUUCAGAGACUUGUGAUAGCAGGAAACCUUCUGAAGGAGUAUCAUGCCAGUUAGCCAAUCAGUGGGGGACUAGUGAAGGGACCUAUUCUGUCUAGUGACAGAGAAAUUGUGAUACAUUGUAAAUAUAAUAUAACAUACAAAGUAUGAUUAUAAAGCAUUGAGAAUCUUUACAAAUUAUAUCUCAGUUGG